GGCUCCAUGGUCUAGUGGUUAGGACAUUGGACUCUGAAUCCAAUAACCCGAGUUCAAAUCUUGGCGGAACCU
rnacentral:tRNA from 1 species